CAGGAUAUAGCUAAGAUAGAAUAGUCUCUCCCUUACUCUGAGAAGUCCUCCGUGCAAAUCGGAUUAUUCUGAC
rnacentral:tRNA from 1 species